GUAGAUGACCAAUUAGUGCCCUUUGCCUCGGCUAAAGAGAAUUGCAAAAAAGGCCGAGAACUCGGAUAAGGGGGUCAAACUGGUCCCAUUUGAUGGAUUGCUUGGAUACCUUCAUAAUGGGCUGUAUAAAGACCCUGGUUUGCCAAAUAUCUUAAGUCACUGAUGGCAUGAGAGACACACUCAGGAGGAGGAGGAUUUACAGCAACUAAUAGCCAGCUAAAUAGCUGUUUCAUAUAAUUGGUGUUGUAACUGUAAAUUUACAUCUGUUUUAAACAGUAUGCACUUCUAGAAUAAAAACAUUGUAAUGUCUGAUGUUUUUUCCCAGAAUU